rnacentral:lncRNA from 1 species
CAUUUAAGGAAUGACUGUAAUAUUUUUUCUGUCUAUGAAGAAAUAACAUAAAAAAUUUGGUGCACACUGAAUAACGCGCGUAGCGGGUUAUUUAACAGUGUGCACCACAUUUUUUUUUAUGUUAUUUCGAAUAGACAGAAAACAUAUUACAGUCAUUUCUUAUAAUUUAAUUCUAAAUUCCAUUUUAAACCGUAGAAAACCAU